rnacentral:lncRNA from 1 species
GGUUAAGAUAAAUGUUCCAAAUAACCGUCUCGUUUUUCUUCAAUGGAGGCAUAAGAUUAAGUCACCGGGGACGAUAUAAAAGUUGGCGUAAGAACUUUAAUGGUGAGUCAGUCGGUCGAAAGUAUACGGUGAAGUUCGUGCAUCCUACUCUUCUGCUCAUCACCGCUGUAUCUGCAUCGUUCGUCUCUGUUAUCUUCCUCUAUGUCAGUUAUACUCAUCGCAGAAGAAAAAGGGAAAUCAACGCCGACCAUCAAACUUUAUUGACUCGAAUCUGAUUGAUCUCUUCUCAGCGCCGACACAGUCCUAUGCCAGUGACUUUGGAUUCACAUCGAACUUUCUCUUUGGACUAUUCUAAUCUGAAAGGUAUUCUCUCAAGAAAUUGU